rnacentral:tRNA from 1 species
GGUGGCUUAGUGGUAGAGCACUUGCCUAACAUGCAUGAAGCCCUGGGUUCGAUUCCUCAGUACCA